CUUGCAGGAAACCAAUCUCUAUCUUUUGAUUAACCAUAGAGUCGUAUACUAAUGCUCUUUUAGAGUGAGAGUUCAGGCCCUGAGUGUUAGCUGAUAACAUUUUAACCAUUUUCCCCGCAAAAACCUCCCAGUAUCCCCGACGGCAUGUUCAACCACAACAAUAACACAACACAUAUAUUAAAACAUUCAUACCCUUCCUUUCUGGUUAUAAACCAGAUAAGAAAAAAUGGCCUCUCAUCCAUCAAAAAUGGGAGAGCCAUUUUCUCGAUAUGCGAGAAACGCAUUCUCGCCAUAUCGGUUAUUGUGUCUCAACCACGGACACAUGGCUGGGAAAAGAAAUUAUCCUUGAGGAGGAGGUGCCUAUUUCUAUUAUAGACCUGAGUGG